GAUGAAGAACGCAGCGAAAUGCGAUAAGUAGUGUGAAUUGCAGAAUUCUGUGAAUCAUCGAAUCUUUGAACGCACAUUGCGCCCUUUGGUAUUCCUUAGGGCAUGCCUGUUCGAGCGUCAUUUAAAAAUUCAAGCUCAGCUUGGUGAUGGGUGUCUGUCCCACCUUUGCGUGCGGACUCGCCUCAAAUGCAGUUGGCAGCUUAUCCUCCGGCCCUAAACGCAGCAGAUUUGCGUCGAAGCGCCGUCCGGACGGGCUCUCCAGUAAGCAAACCCCCCAAGAUUGACCUCGGAUCAGGCAGGGAUACCCGCUGAACUUAAGCAUAUCAAUAAGCGGAGGA
rnacentral:misc_RNA from 1 species